rnacentral:sRNA from 1 species
AUCGAGACCAUCGCUGCCUCCUCCACCCCCACACCCAUCCGAAAGCAGUCCAAGCGGCGCUCCAACAUCUUCACGCUAAUGAACCGGCGGCCGGAAGGCUGUUUGCCCAAGGCGACACAGAGGGUUAGCUGGCCCAGCUAGAGUCAGAGCCCAGGCCUCCCCGUCCGCCUUCCGGCUCUUUUUCCGUUACCCCACUGCCGAGGGGAAAAUUCAUGCUUUCCACCCACCGCUGUGAUUGGUUUAACAAAGGCUUAGCCAUCUUUUCCUGGGCUUCACCACGCUGCCUCGUUCCUCCCUCUCAGGUUUGUCCUGUCUCCUUGUGAGCUCCUCACUCACCCCUCACAAACCUCAUACCCCACACCUGGGGGCUGUUGUGCUGGCCCGGCUGAGGGUGGCCUCUGGCUCUCAGGCCCCAGGGCCUGCUGUCUCUCCACUCCCAAUGUGCGACACACAGUGCCCAUCCAAACCCUAAUCCUCCAGCCGGGCUUGGCUGGAUGUUCCAGGAGUCUUGGGCCAGACAAAGGUGGGUGAACCCCCGUGUGGGUUGUCACGAGAGCGCCCGCCCCUCCGCGUCACUCCAUGCGCCUCUU